GCACUGCUGAUGAGACCCAACCAGGUCGAAACAAUCGUCUAGUGC
rnacentral:hammerhead_ribozyme from 1 species